UGGCAAAAUCCAUCCUCUCAGCCCCUUUGUCAAUUACACUGCGGAGCUAGGGCAGCAGUGUUGUCGACUAGAGGACCGAGGAGAUGGAACUUCGGGAAAGAUGGGUCA